ACGUAGGGGGCAAGCGUUAUCCGGAAUUAUUGGGCGUAAAGAGUGCGUAGGUGGUUCUUUAAGCGUGAGGUGAAAGGCAAUGGCUUAACCAUUGUAAGCCUUGCGAACUGGGGAACUUGAGUGCAGGAGAGGUAAGUGGAAUUCCUAGUGUAGCGGUGAAAUGCGUAGAUAUUAGGAGGAACACCAGUGGCGAAGGCGACUUACUGGACUGUAACUGACACUGAGGCACGAAAGCGUGGGGAGCAAACAG
rnacentral:rRNA from 1 species